AAUGAACGCUGGCGGCGUGCCUAACACAUGCAAGUCGAACGAGAAAGAGCUUCGGCUCAAGUAAAGUGGCGAACGGGUGAGUAAUACAUAGGAAUCAACCCUUUAGUGGAGGAUAUUCUCGAGAAAUUGAGAGCAAUCCUGCAUACGUCCCUUCGGGGAGAAAGGUGGCCUCUUGCUGCCGCUAAAGGACGAGCCUAUGCGCUAUCAGCUAGUUGGUAGGGUAAAGGCCUACCAAGGCUAUGACGGCUAACCGGCCUGAGAGGGUGUACGGUCACAUUGGAACUUAGAUACGGUCCAGACUCCUACGGGUGGCAG
rnacentral:rRNA from 1 species